UACGUAGGGUGCAAGCGUUGUCCGGAUUUAUUGGGCGUAAAGAGCUCGUAGGCGGUCUGUCGCGUCGGAUGUGAAAGCCCAGGGCUCAACCCUGGGCCUGCAUUCGAUACGGGCAGACUAGAGUGUGGCAGGGGAGACUGGAAUUCCUGGUGUAGCGGUGAAAUGCGCAGAUAUCAGGAGGAACACCGGUGGCGAAGGCGGGUCUCUGGGCCAAUACUGACGCUGAGGAGCGAAAGCGUGGGGAGCGAACAGG
rnacentral:rRNA from 1 species